UUUGAAAGCUCAGUUAGGUUCAUAGGGUGAUUUAUGACUUGAUUGAUUAGUUUACAUGGAUCUUAAGGCACUUGGGAGCAAUAUAAAGUGCGAGACGUGAUAACACUAUAAGGGCAUAACCACACUGAAGGAAGUAUUCAUGGCAACAUUAUCAAGGCAGGCAUGGCCUAUCAUGUAGCAGACAAGCAAUGCAGGGGUGCAACAAGUGCGAGUUACACAUGAUCAUGCAAAG
rnacentral:lncRNA from 1 species